rfam:Dipodomys ordii contig_70646, whole genome shotgun sequence.
ACAAAGGCUCUUUUCAGAGCCACCUACUUAUUCAUUGAAGAGCUA